rnacentral:rRNA from 1 species
ACGGGAGGCAGCAGUGGGGAAUAUUGCGCAAUGGGGGAAACCCUGACGCAGCAACGCCGCGUGAGUGAAGAAGUAUUUCGGUAUGUAAAGCUCUAUCAGCGGGGACGAAGAUGACGGUACCCGCAGAAGAAGUCCCGGCUAACUACGUGCCAGCAGCCGCGGUAAUACGUAGGGGACAAGCGUUAUCCGGAUUUACUGGGUGUAAAGGGAGCGUAGGCGGCCAGACAAGUCAGAAGUGAAAGCCCGCGGCUCAACUGCGGGACUGCUUUUGAAACUGCCAGGCUAGAGUACUGGAGGGGCAAGCGGAAUUCCUGGUGUAGCGGUGAAAUGCGUAGAUAUUAGGAGGAACACCAGUGGCGAAGGCGGCUUACUGGACGGUAACUGACGUUGAGGCUCGAAAGCGUGGGGAGCAAACAGGAUUAGAUACCCUGGUA